CCUCUCUCCCACUUCCUCCCUUUCCCACCGCCGCCGCCGCCGCCGAAAAAGAAGAAGAAGCCGACGAGGAGGCGACCAUGAGGGCCAAGUGGAAGAAGAAGCGCAUGAGGAGGCUGAAGAGGAAGCGCCGAAAGAUGAGGCAGAGAUCUAAGUAGGCGAAGGAGAUGGGCGAUCAUGGUGAUGGCGUGUCGCAGUGAUCCAUGUCUUCGGCUGCCAAGCUCGUUGAUAUGUCAAGCUGCUUGGCGUGGUGCCACCAUUCGACUGUUGAAUGGCUUAUUUACCUGUGCUGUUAUCAUCUUAUAUCCCUAGUUUUACCAAGAGUUUUGCACCAAGACAUGUCGGUUCAGUUAUGUGAACUUGUUAUGGAGCCGUAUUUGCUGCUAAUGUUUACCUACCGUUGAGUAAUUGCUUUGUUGGCUCUGUGGUAACAUCUAUUGAUUGCUGCUUUAUCUGUUAGCAUUGGUGUGUUGAUCUCUGCGUUAUUGCUUGCUUGAUGGUUUCAGUGUAGGAAUUUCCCUGGAGACGCUGAUGCUCAGCCUGGACAGGCCUUACUUUUUCUUUAGAAGCUUAACAUUGUUUUGCAUGUCUGCAGUUCUUCGGCUGGUUCUUGCUUCCUGUGGUAGCUUGUUUGUUGUUCUACUUAGGGCCUGUUUUGCAGGGUUUAACUUCCAAAUUUAACUCAAGAGUUGGCUUUGGAGAGCAGCCUGAACCCUGCUCUCUAGUCUAUGGCUGUGUUUAGUUUCAUGCUAAAAUUGGAAGCUUGACUAAAAAUUGGAAGUUUGAAGAAAAAAGUUGGAAGUUUAUUAGCCCUAUCGUUUGGCCUAAACAGCUAAAGAAUAAACCAAAAUUUGAUUUUGAAAUGCUUUUAACAUAAUUUUUUUUUAAUGUUGGCUUUUAAGUUUUGAAAUGCUUAUGUGUGCAUGUGAUGGAAAAGUAAAGUUAGGAACUAAACAAAGCAUAUGAUUUGAGAGCAUACCAGUCUGUUCUGAUCCCUUUUAAGGCGAAGCUGAAACAUCUUGGUUCUCUAGUUUAUUUUCUGAGAGGUGCAGCUCAAAACAGUUUGAUUUAAAUAAGCCCUAGGAGUAUGUAGUUUGGAGAUAUUUUGCAAAUUUUGAAUUUGCUGUUCAUUGCGGUUAAGUAAUUUUGCGUUUAUUUCAUAUCGUGAGCAAUGGUGUGACAUUGGAUAGGUUGUUUAAAUCUGUUUUAGAUGUAGCGUGGAAAGAUUAGAUGGAAGCCGUCUAAAUCAUGUUCAUGAACGUAUAUUUUUCGUUUAUUUCGCUGCUUUCACGGUGUUUCGACCUCUGUGUUCUGGUAGCUUUUCUUGGUACGCUGCGUUGGAAGGAUCAGUUCUAGCUACUCAUUGCAUACUGUUCAAUGUUAACGAUGCAUAUUAUUGUGGUUGAUUGAUGAAUUUUAAACUCAGCGAUAAUUUGAGGGAUAUAAAGUGAACUUAUUCAUAGACUGAAUUAGGCCCAAAUAUAACCGCACAGCCCAUUUCACAUCCAAAUGUGGGCCCAUUACAUGGAGGCCCAUCACCGUCUCGCACUUUCUCGCUUCUAGUCCCCAAUCUGAAGCCCCCCUCGAUGGCAUCGCCGCUCCAAUGGACGGCUCCGAUCCACCCGCCGCCGCCUCCCCAUCCGCCGCAGCUGCCGCCGGCGACGACGACGACGAGCGAGCCGCCGCGCCCGCGGCCCAGCCGGAGCGGUGCGAGGCUCUGGCCGGGGCCAUCGCGGGGGUGCUGGGCGGCGCGCUGCAGGAACACGAGGCGUGCGCGGCGGCCACCGCUCGGAGCCAGGGCGAGCUCGCCGCCGCCGUCGACCGGCUCAACGGAGAACUAGACAAGCUAUUAGAGAAUGCACCCUCCCCGGUCAUAAUGCAACAAGCCACAAGGAUUUGUUCUAUUCGCAAGAGAGUUUUAGCUCUGAACAUGCUCCUGCGCUCCAUACAAAGACGUAUAGAUAACAUUGAUAGAAUUGUUUCUACUGGUGUAACAAGUGGUAUUGCUCUUCUACGAUGAAUAAUAUCAUUCUUCUCAUGUACAGUUGCACAGACAGAAUUGAAGUUGGAUUGAGGGUUUAGAAGAUAGUUUCCACUGUUACCCCGUGUACACCCGUUUCUAUCUGGGAGAGUUGCCAUUUGAAGUUCUACUGUAAGCAACAUUUUCGUACGAAGUUGUGCCUAAAAGUGAGAGUAACAUUUGCAGUUUGUCCUCCAAAUGAGUCUCACUUACUCCAUUUCUUUUUGCCAUUUAAUGGAGUGGGAGUAAUAUAUUGGACCAAUCUUUUUUUUUUGUUCGUACUGCAGACUGGGAAAUGUACUUCAGAUGUAUCAUUUGCAUUUGUGAACUUUCUUUUUGUGGGUGAGGAAUCGUCACUGCAUAUAUCAGAUGAAUGUUGCUCCAUCGACACAUCGAAGUUGCCAACAACGUGAAUCAAUCGAUUGUGUUGUUAUAUGUUUUCUGUUGUACCUUUCUGGCCAACCUUGUUCCCACAUUUCAAACAAAUUGUCUAAAUUUUGUUUAAUCGAUGAAGCCGACCUGUGCCGGCUUGCGUAUAUUCAUUGAUGCGGCAACGUUAGUGAAAACAAGAAAAUUUAGAAUAGUUGUUAAUUGAUUCAUCUAGUACGUUACUAUGUACUCACUCCCUUUCAAAAUAUAAGGAGUUUUGGUUAGACUUGACAGUAUUGAGAUGUGUCUCGUCUAAUUAAAACUCCUUAUAUUUUGGGACGGAUGGAGUAUUAUGCUCUAAAUGUACUGCCAGACGAGGAAAAUAUUGUGCGCAGCGAAA